UACGUAGGGUGCAAGCGUUAAUCGGAAUUACUGGGCGUAAAGCGUGCGCAGGCGGUGAUGUAAGACAGGUGUGAAAUCCCCGGGCUUAACCUGGGAACUGCAUUUGUGACUGCAUCGCUGGAGUGCGGCAGAGGGGAUGGAAUUCCGCGUGUAGCAGUGAAAUGCGUAGAUAUGCGGAGGAACACCGAUGGCGAAGGCAAUCCCCUGGGCCUGCACUGACGCUCAUGCACGAAGCGUGGGGAGCAAACAGG
rnacentral:rRNA from 1 species